GACGAACGCUGGCGGCGUGCCUAAUACAUGCAAGUCGAACGCAUUUUCUUUCACCGUAGCUUGCUACACCGAAAGAAAAUGAGUGGCGAACGGGUGAGUAACACGUGGGUAACCUGCCCAUCAGCGGGGGAUAACACUUGGAAACAGGUGCUAAUACCGCAUAAUUCCAUUUACCGCAUGGUAGAUGGGUGAAAGGCGCUUUUGCGUCACUGAUGGAUGGACCCGCGGUGCAUUAGCUAGUUGGUGGGGUAACGGCCUACCAAGGCUGCGAUGCAUAGCCGACCUGAGAGGGUGAUCGGCCACACUGGGACUGAGACACGGCCCAGACUCCUACGGGAGGCAGCAGUAGGGAAUCUUCGGCAAUGGACGCAAGUCUGACCGAGCAACGCCGCGUGAGUGAAGAAGGUUGUCGGAUCGUAAAACUCUGUUGUUAGAGAAGAACAAGGAUGAGGGUGGAAAGUUCAUCCCUUGACGGUAUCUAACCAGAAAGCCACGGCUAACUACGUG
rnacentral:rRNA from 1 species